rnacentral:rRNA from 1 species
UUAAUAAUAUUCUUAUUAAAAAUAUAAUUAUUUUAAUAUUUGGUCCUUUCGUACUAAAAUAUUAUAAUUUUUUAAAGAUAGAAACCAACCUGGCUUACGCCGGUUUGAACUCAGAUCAUGUAAGAAUUUAAAAGUCGAACAGACUUAAAAUUUGAGCGGCUACACCCAAAAUUAUAUCUUAAUCCAACAUCGAGGUCGCAAUCUUUUUUAUCGAUAUGAACUCUCCAAAAAAAUUACGCUGUUAUCCCUAAAGUAACUUAAAUUUUUAAUCACUAUUAAUGGAUCAAUUAUUCAUAAAUCAAUGGUUUUAAAAAUUAAAAGUUUUUUAAAUUUUAAUAUCACCCCAAUAAAAUAUUUUAAUUUAUAAUAAUAAAACUAAUCUUUACAAUUAAAAUAAAUAAAAUAUAAAGAUUUAUAGGGUCUUCUCGUCUUUUAAAUUAAUUUUAGCUUUUUGACUAAAAAAUAAAAUUCUAUAAAAAAUUCAAAUGAAAC